UUAAAUACACAUCUCUGGUCUUAUGUGGAAAAUGAUGAGAGGGUUUUUUUUUUUUUUUUUAAUUGAGACGGAGUUUCGCUCUGGUUGCCCAGGCUGGAGUGCAAUGGUGCCGUCUCGGCUCACUGCAACCUCCACCUCCCAGGUUCAAGUGAUUCUCCUGCCUCAGCCUCCUGAGUAGCUGGGAUUACAGGCAUAUGCCACACUCCUGGCUAAUAUUUUGUAUUUUUAGUAGAGACAGGGUUUCUCCAUGUUGGUCAGUCUGGUCUUGAACUCCCAACCUCAGGUGAUUCACCUGCCUCAGCCUCCCAAAAUGCUGGGAUUACAGGUGUGAGCCACCGCGCCUGGCCUGGGUUUUGUUUUUAAUACCCAUCUAUGACUUGUAACUUCUACAGAGUAAUAAAAGUGAUGUAUCAUUUAAGGUAUCAUUAUUCUGCUUCAUGUAAUAGAAACCCAGCUGUGGUGGCUUGACCAAGUAACUGGGUCUUUUCCUUCGAUAUAAGUCUGGAGAUAGAAGUCCAGGGCCGGGAAGGUGCUUCCACAAUGCCAUUAGGUAGACAGGCUCCUCCUGUCUUUCUUUCUCCCAUCUUUAGUGUGUAGCUUUUAUCUUCAUGCUUGCAAGAUAGUGAAGUACAUUUAGAUCUAAUGUCUACAUUAUAGGCAGGCACAGAGUGAAGCGCAGAAAGCAAUUAACAGUUGUAUUUUUCCAUCUGAUCAGGAAACAGUAACUUUCUUGAAAGUCCCACACAGGAGACUCCUCACAUCUCAUUGGCAAGAACUGGCUCUCAUAGUUAUAUUUUUGUAUACAAAAUUAUUUAAUCACUUCUUAGCCUUUUGGCUAAGAUCAAGGGUAGUAUCAGUUCUUAUCAGUUCUUUUUUUUUUUCUCUCUUUUGAGACAGAGUCUCGCUCUGUUGCCCAGGCUGGAGUGCAGUGGCGCAAUCUCGGCUCACUGCAACCUCCGCCUCCCAGGUUCAAGCAAUUCUCUUGCCUCAGCCUCUCAAGCUGGGAUUACAGGUGCCAGACACGUUGCCUGGGUAAUUUUUUUGUAUUUUUAAUAGAGACAGGGUUUCUCCAUGUUGGCCAGGCUGGUCUCAAACUCAGGUGAUUAACUUGCCGCUGCACUCCAGCUUGGGAAACAGAGCAAGACACACACACACACACACACACACACACACACACACACACACACACACACACACACACGAAGGAAGGAAAGAGAGAGAGGAAGGGAGGGAGGGAGGGAGGAAGGAAGAAAAGAAAGAAAAACAUAAAAAAAGAGAAAUAGAGAAAUUUCCUCACUUGUUUCAAUUCUUUAACAUGUGUUGAAGAGAACUUUUUUUUUUUUUGAAACGGAGUCUCACUCUGUCACCCAGCAGGCUGGAGUGCAGUGGUGUGAUCUCGUCUCACUGCAACCUCCAUCUCCUGGGUUCAAGCAAUUCUCUGCCUCAGCUUCCUGAGUAGCUGGGAUUACAGGCGCCCGCCACCACGCCCGGCUAAUUUUUGUAUUUUUAGUACAGACAGGGUGUCACCAUAUUGGCCAGGCUGGUCUUGAACUCCUGACCUCGUGAUCCACCCGCCUCGGCCUCCCAAAGUGCUGGGAUUACUGCUGUGAGCCACUGUGCCAAGCCUGAAGAGAACUUUUUAUACCUACAUAAAAUCAGGCAAGGGAGUAUCAGUUAUUUUUUAAAUUUUACUGGUCACCCUUUCCCCUCUCUUCUGUCCCCUCCCCUCUUCCCUUGGAGCGCUCUUCCUCCUCCACGAGAAUCCAGUGAUUCUGGUGAGGCUGCUAAAUGGAACACCCAGCUAUGCCCAUUGCUGCCCCAUCGUGACUCACAGUAAUGGACAUGUGACUCAGCCUGGUCAGCUUAUAUCCCAUUCUCCUGACCACAGUGACAUCACAGUGAUGGGCAUAGAACCAGCAGUCAGUUACUCUCUGGGAUUUAUUUCAUGGAACUAGGAGAGAGAGAGUGUUUAAG
rnacentral:lncRNA from 10 species